AAACCAACAGGGAUUGCCUCAGUAGCGGCGAGUGAAGCGGCAAAAGCUCAAAUUUGAAAUCUGGUAGUUCUGCUACCCGAGUUGUAAUUUGUAGAAAACUGUCUUUGUUAGGGUGCCUGUCUAAGUUCCUUGGAACAGGACGUCGCAGAGGGUGAGAAUCCCGUGUGAUGGGUGGCCCGAGCUUUUAAGGCGUUUUCGAAGAGUCGAGUUGUUUGGGAAUGCAGCUCUAAGUGGGUGGUAAAUUCCAUCUAAAGCUAAAUAUUGGCGAGAGACCGAUAGCGAACAAGUACAGUGAUGGAAAGAUGAAAAGAACUUUGAAAAGAGAGUGAAACAGUACGUGAAAUUGUUGAAAGGGAAGGGUAUUUGAUCCGACAUGGGAUUUACUCAUCAUUGCUCCUUGUGGGUGGUGCUCUGGGUUUUUUCUGGGCCAGAAUCAGUUUGUGUGGCAGGAUAAAGGCGUGAGGAAGUAGCUCUUCUGGAGCAAUAUAACUCAUGUUAAUACUGCCUAUGCGGACUGAGGAAUGCGGUUUUUACCAAGGAUUCUGGCAUAACGAUUAAAUACCGGC
rnacentral:rRNA from 1 species